rnacentral:rRNA from 1 species
AUUGAACGCUGGCGGCAGGCCUAACACAUGCAAGUCGAGCGGCAGCGGAAAGUAGCUUGCUACUUUGCCGGCGCGCGGCGGACGGGUGAGUAAUGUCUGGGAAACUGCCUGAUGGAGGGGGAUAACUACUGGAAGCGGUAGCUAAUACCGCAUAACGUCGCAAGACCAAAGAGGGGGACCUUCGGGCCUCUUGCCAUCAGAUGUUCCCAGAUGGGAUUAGCUAGUAGGUGGGGUAACGGCCCACCUAGGCGACGAUCCCUAGCUGGUCUGAGAGGAUGACCAGCCACACUGGAACUGAGACACGAUCCAGACUCCUACGGGAGGCAGCAGUGGGGAAUAUUGCACAAUGGGCGCAAGCCUGAUGCAGCCAUGCCGCGUGUAUGAAGAAGGCCUUCGGGUUGUAAAGUACUUUCAGCGGGGAGGAAGGUGUUGAGGUUAAUAACCUCAGCAAUUGACGUUACCCGCAGAAGAAGCACCGGCUAACUCCGUGCCAGCCGCCGCAGUAACAC